AUUGAACGCUGGCGGCAGGCUUAACACAUGCAAGUCGAGCGGAGCGAGGGUGCUUGCACCUUAGCUUAGCGGCGGACGGGUGAGUAAUGCUUAGGAAUCUGCCUAUUAGUGGGGGACAACAUUCCGAAAGGAAUGCUAAUACCGCAUACGCCCUACGGGGGAAAGCAGGGGAUCUUUGGACCUUGCGCUAAUAGAUGAGCCUAAGUCGGAUUAGCUAGGUUGGUGGGGUAAAGGCCUACCAAGGCGACGAUCUGUAGCGGGUCUGAGAGGAUGAUCCGCCACACUGGGACUGAGACACGGCCCAGACUCCUACGGGAGGCAGCAGUGGGGAAUAUUGGACAAUGGGCUGAAGCCUGAUCCAGCCAUGCCGCGUGUGUGAAGAAGGCCUUUUGGUUGUAAAGCACUUUAAGCGAGGAGGAGGAGCUCUAGGUUAAUACCCUAGAUGCUUGGACGUUACUCGCAGAAUAAGCACCGGCUAACUCUGUGCCAGCCGCCGCCGUAACAC
rnacentral:rRNA from 1 species